rnacentral:rRNA from 1 species
GAUGAACGCUAGCGGCAGGCCUAAUACAUGCAAGUCGAACGGUAACAUGGGUAGCGAUACUUGAUGACGAGUGGCGCACGGGUGCGUAACGCGUAUGCAAUCUACCUUUUACUGGUGAAUAGCCCGAAGAAAUUCGGAUUAAUACACCAUAGUAUAUUGAGGAGGCAUCUCCUUAAUAUUAAAACUCCGGUGGUAAAAGAUGAGCAUGCGUGACAUUAGCUAGUUGGUGAGGUAACGGCUCACCAAGGCAACGAUGUCUAGGGGAUCUGAGAGGAUUAACCCCCGCACUGGUACUGCGACACGGACCAGACUCCUACGGGAGGCAGCAGUAAGGAAUAUUGGACAAUGGUCGCAAGACUGAUCCAGCCAUGCCGCGUGAAGGAUGAAGGCCCUAUGGGUUGUAAACUUCUUUUGUAUGGGAAAAAACCCCUCUACGUGUAGAGGGCUGAUUGUACCAUAAGAAUAAGGAUCGGCUAACUCCGUGCCAGCAGCCGCCGUAAGAC